rnacentral:misc_RNA from 1 species
AAAUAGUUGGUCUAUAAUUGCAUCAGGAUAUAUGGAUAAGCAGAAUAUGGAAAAAGCUUUUCAAUGCAUGAAAGAAGCACUAACUUUACAGGCAGAAAAUAAAGGGUGGAGGCCCAAACCUACACUGAUUUCUAGCAUAUUGAGUUGGCUUGCUGAUAAUGGGGAUGCUGAAGACGUAGAAGCAUUUGUGAGCUCAUUGGAGAAUAAGGUUCCAAAAGAUAGGGAACUUUAUCAUACUCUAGUUAAGGCCUAUGUCAGAGGUGGCAAACAGGUCAAUGGUCUUUUGGAGAGCAUGAAGGCUGAUAAAAUAGAUGUAGAUGAGGAAACAAAGACGAUUCUUAGCUUAAGACAGCA